UCUCCCCACGACCCCAGCCAGUCACCUCCCUCCUAGCGCCGUGCCCGGCCUCCUUCCCCGCGCCAGCCCACCUCCCUCCCCACCUUCUCCGACGCGGCGCGCCCCCUACCCUUCCUACCUUCUCCGGCGACGCCGGCCACCACCACCUCCUUUCCCGCAGCGCUCCACCCUCCCACCACCUUCCAGGGAUCUGGCCGGCGACCAUGGGGACGACCUCCCAACCACCGGGACACCAGACCACGCCACCCCCCUCCAACCAUUGCUGCCUCCCAAGUUCUCCUCGCCGGCGCCACACCGUUAUCUGCCGGCCGCCCCCAUGCUCUGCCCCGAUGCCACACCUUCUUCUUUCUUCCUCCCCUGUCUCCCACAACCAAACGCCGCCACACCCCAAUGCCAGAUCCAAGUCCCAGGAGUUGCCGGAUUCGCGCGAGAUACACUGCUUCCAAGCCUCCCGCAGUGGUCCUCUUCCCGGCCGACCAUCUUCCUCGCAGGUUUGGGUGUGGCGUGCCGUACAUCUCGCCGGAUUCCCACGGCUCUCCUCUGUAGAAGGGCAAAAGGUUUGCCAGAUCUGGGCGUCUGCGGUAGUUGUUUUUCGACAACCUCCACCUCAAGCCUCCUGCUCGCAAGCGCCUCCCGUGGCCGUGGACGCCGGCGAGUGGCGACCGUCGGACCCCCCGCGCCUGUAGCCACGGGAUCCAGCCGGAUCCCCUUAUCCUCACCUCGGAUCGUGCGGUGACCUCCAUGUCACCGGUGACGAGCUCCAACACCGACGCCCACACCCCCCCCCUCCCCGAGCAUCGAUGAAGAAGCGUGCAAUGCAGUGUGCGGUGCAUGGAGAUGUAGUGCAGUCUUCCGGCGCAUUCCCCGGAUGCGUGCGAGGGGAGUCGACAGCUGCACCAACGCCCCAUGGAAGAGCAGUAGGCGUCGCUUUGCAAUGCAGUGGUGCAGUUCGAUUAAAUCCCCCCACUUCUUCCACAUCCCCUCGUCCGUCCUUGGAGUAGCACGGGCUUGGUGGUGUAGUACAACACGGCGAAUGGCUGCAGUUUGCUGUGUAAUAAUGCGGCUUUUUCAGAUUUCAUCGGGCACAAAAAUUGUAGUCUUUAUCUUCGAUGCAGUGCUGCCUUGUUU